AUGCGCUGUGGCUAAUGCCGUAGGCUCCUUCAGGGCUGAGCCAUCCCGCGUGUCUUGCGCUCGGUGGAAAUGCCCAGCCGAGGGACGCGACCAGAGGACAGCUCUGUGCUGAUCCCCACCGACAAUUCGACCCCACACAAGGAGGAUCUAAGCAGCAAGAUUAAAGAACAAAAAAUUGUGGUGGAUGAACUUUCUAACCUUAAGAAGAAUAGGCCUAAAUUAUGUUUUCCAGAAAGUAUAUAGGCAACAACAGAACAGCAAUAUAUUCUUUCUUGCAGACCGAACAGAAAUGCUGUCUGAGAGCAAGAAUAUAUUGGAUGAACUGAAAAAAGAAUACCAAGAAAUAGAAAACUUAGACAAGACCAAAAUCAAGAAAUAGUCAACCUGAUUUCACAUAACAAUGUGUGGCAUUUGUUGUUCUGUAAACUUUUCUGCUGAGCAUUUCAGUCAAGAUUUAAAAGAGGACUUACUAUAUAAUCUUAAACAGCGGGGACCCAAUAGUAGUAAACAAUUGUUAAAGUCUGAUGUUAACUACCAGUGUUUAUUUUCUGCUCACGUCCUACACUUGAGGGG
rnacentral:lncRNA from 1 species